rnacentral:rRNA from 1 species
AAUCUUCCACAAUGGACGGAAGUCUGAUGGAGCAAUGCCGCGUGAACGAAGAAGGUUUUCGGAUCGUAAAGUUCUGUUGUGAGGGAAGAACAAGUACGAGAGUAACUGCUCGUACCUUGACGGUACCUCAUUAGAAAGCCACGGCUAACUACUUGCCAGCAGCCGCGGUAAUACGUAGGUGGCAAGCGUUUUCCGGAAUUAUUGGGCGUAAAGCGCGCGCAGGCGGCAUUUUAAGGCUGAUGUGAAAGCCCACGGCUCAACCGUGGAAGGGCAUUGGAAACUGGAAGGCUUGAGUACAGAAGAGGAAAGCGGAAUUCCACGUGUAGCGGGGAAAUGCGUAGGGAUGUGGAGGAACACCAGUGGCGAAGGCGGCUUUCUGGUCUGUAACUGACGCUGAGGCGCGAAAGCGUGGGGAGCAAACAG